AAAUAAGAAGCGAAUAAUUGCAUUCAGUUUCGACCUGACUUUAGGUGUUUAACACCCUUAUUUA
rnacentral:tRNA from 1 species